rnacentral:lncRNA from 1 species
UUCGAGUUACAAAAUGGCCGCCCGGAGCGUGUUCGGCGCGGUUCCCCCAGCUGUCUCUGGCUGAACCGGCGCUCUCGCCUCCCUGCCGAACACAGCGUGAGGAGCCCCCCCAGGGAUAUGGUGUUUGAGUCUCUGGGCUUGCCGAGCACUAAGUCCUCUGAGUUCCGCAGCGCAGCACCGGAAGCGGCCGAGCGCGCUCAGCCCGGCGACCCCUGCGGGCUCCAGACCCCUGCGCCGCUGCGCCCCGGGUUUCGCCGCAACCAAGACCCAGCGAGUGCAGCGGCGGCCGCCGAGGAGGUUCGAAAACAUGGCCAAAAGAAAUGCCGAGAAGGAACUGACAGAUAGGAAUUGGGAUCAAGAAGAUGAAGCUGAAGAGGUGGGAACAUUCUCCAUGGCCAGUGAGGAAGUCUUGAAGAAUAGAGCCAUAAAGAAAGCAAAGCGCAGAAAUGUUGGAUUUGAAGUUCUCUUGCUGCAAAUGGCCCUACCACCUUGGUUGAUAAAGUUUCAAAUCCCAAAACUAAUGGGGACAGUCAGCAG